GGGAGUGAGGGUGUGGCACAGGACCAGAGCCUCCCAGGAGGUCAGGGAGGCCAGGAGGCACCGGCAGAGGAGCCAGGAAGCAGGAGGAAAACCAGAGCGAAGCUGCUGAGGACUGGAGAGGAGACCCAGCCGCCCUGUGUUAGGUGCUGCCGCCGCCUACACCCACAGGCACUUGGCUAUUUGGUCCAGCCACAGGCAGGCCAUGGGUGAUCUUGAGAAGAGACAUGAGGAUGAAAGCCCAGUUGAAGCAGAGAGGUUUCCCAGCUGCAAAAUUGGAUGAACGAAUCAUAUUCUAUGCCAUGGGGUCAUUCUGAGGAUUAAAUGACAUUACACACCAAA